rnacentral:lncRNA from 1 species
GAGAUACACAUACAUGUGACAUAUGCAGGCGUGUGAGAUACACAUACAUGUGACAUAUGCAGGCGUGAGACAUACAUACCUGUGGUGUAUGCAGGUGUGAGACACAUACAUGUGACUUAUGCAGGCGUGUGAGACACAUACAUGUGACAUAUGCAGGCGUGUGAGACACACAUACAUGUGACAUAUGCAGGCGUGACAUACAUACCUGUGGUGUAUGCAGGUGUGUGAUACACAUACAUGUGACAUAUGCAGGCGUGUGACAUACAUACCUGUGGUGUAUGCAGGCGUGUGAGAUACACAUACAUGUGACGUAUGCAGGCAUGUGACAUACAUACCUGUGGUCCACACCUGUCUGCACACGCCUCCUGUUACUGAUGGUUAACUCAGUGGCUGGCACACUCACCACCUUCUCACUGUGGCUGGCAACAAGCUGCUGUUCUGCACCAGGACCUCCUCUCAGGCUCCCAGCAAAGGAGGCCGGCAGCUUUGACACGAGGGUCCGGGAGCCGUGGCUCCUCCAGGUUAGUGGUGCACACAGCGCUUGCCACACCGCCCACUGCCUCACUCCGUGCUGUGCCUGGUGCUGCGUGGGUCCUGAGGCUCCUGCUCCUGACCCUGGUGCCGCUGGGACAGAGUCCAGGUGGGAGGGCAGUGUGUGGUGUGUGUGUGGCCAGUCCCCAGGGACAGGACGCCCGAG